rnacentral:rRNA from 1 species
GAUGAACGCUGGCGGCGUGCCUAAUACAUGCAAGUCGAGCGAACGGACGAGAAGCUUGCUUCUCUGAUGUUAGCGGCGGACGGGUGAGUAACACGUGGAUAACCUACCUAUAAGACUGGGAUAACUUCGGGAAACCGUAGCUAAUACCGGAUAAUAUUUUGAACCGCAUGGUUCAAAAGUGAAAGACGGUCUUGCUGUCACUUAUAGAUGUAUCCGCGCUGCAUUAGCUAGUUGGUAAGGUAACGGCUUACCAAGGCAACGAUGCAUAGCCGACCUGAGAGGGUGAUCGGCCACACUGGAACUGAGACACGGUCCAGACUCCUACGGGAGGCAGCAGUAGGGAAUCUUCCGCAAUGGGCGAAAGCCUGACGGAGCAAAGCCGCGUGAGUGAUGAAGGUCUUCGGAUCGUAAAACUCUGUUAUUAGGGAAGAACAUAUGUGAAAGUAACUGUGCACAUCUUGACGGUACCUAAUCAGAAAGCCACGGCUAACUACGUG